rnacentral:rRNA from 1 species
AUUGAACGCUGGCGGCAGGCCUAACACAUGCAAGUCGAGCGGUAGAGAGAAGCUUGCUUCUCUUGAGAGCGGCGGACGGGUGAGUAAUACCUAGGAAUCUGCCUGAUAGUGGGGGAUAACGUUCGGAAACGGACGCUAAUACCGCAUACGUCCUACGGGAGAAAGCAGGGGACCUUCGGGCCUUGCGCUAUCAGAUGAGCCUAGGUCGGAUUAGCUAGUUGGUGAGGUAAUGGCUCACCAAGGCUACGAUCCGUAACUGGUCUGAGAGGAUGAUCAGUCACACUGGAACUGAGACACGGUCCAGACUCCUACGGGAGGCAGCAGUGGGGAAUAUUGGACAAUGGGCGAAAGCCUGAUCCAGCCAUGCCGCGUGUGUGAAGAAGGUCUUCGGAUUGUAAAGCACUUUAAGUUGGGAGGAAGGGCAGUAAAUUAAUACUUUGCUGCUUUGACGUUACCGACAGAAUAAGCACCGGCUAACUCUGUGCCAGCAGCCGCGGUAAUACAGAGGGUGCAAGCGUUAAUCGGAAUUACUGGGCGUAAAGCGCGCGUAGGUGGUUUGUUAAGUUGAAUGUGAAAUCCCCGGGCUCAACCUGGGAACUGCAUCCAAAACUGGCAAGCUAGAGUAUGGUAGAGGGUAGUGGAAUUUCCUGUGUAGCGGUGAAAUGCGUAGAUAUAGGAAGGAACACCAGUGGCGAAGGCGACUACCUGGACUGAUACUGACACUGAGGUGCGAAGGCGUGGGGAGCAAACAGGAUUAGAUACCCUGGUAGUCCACGCCGUAAACGAUGUCAACUAGCCGUUGGGAGUCUUGAACUCUUAGUGGCGCAGCUAACGCAUUAAGUUGACCGCCUGGGGAGUACGGCCGCAAGGUUAAAACUCAAAUGAAUUGACGGGGGCCCGCACAAGCGGUGGAGCAUGUGGUUUAAUUCGAAGCAACGCGAAGAACCUUACCAGGCCUUGACAUCCAGUGAACUUUCUAGAGAUAGAUUGGUGCCUUCGGGAACAUUGAGACAGGUGCUGCAUGGCUGUCGUCAGCUCGUGUCGUGAGAUGUUGGGUUAAGUCCCGUAACGAGCGCAACCCUUGUCCUUAGUUACCAGCACGUAAUGGUGGGCACUCUAAGGAGACUGCCGGUGGCAAACCGGAGGAAGGUGGGGAUGACGUCAGGUCAUCAUGGCCCUUACGGCCUGGGCUACACACGUGCUACAAUGGUCGGUACAAAGGGUUGCCAGCCGCGAGGUGGAGCUAAUCCCAUAAAACCGAUCGUAGUCCGGAUCGCAGUCUGCAACUCGACUGCGUGAAGUCGGAAUCGCUAGUAAUCGUGAAUCAGAAUGUCACGGUGAAUACGUUCCCGGGCCU